rnacentral:rRNA from 1 species
GAUGAACGCUGGCGGCGUGCCUAAUACAUGCAAGUCGAGCGAACAGACGAGGAGCUUGCUCCUCUGACGUUAGCGGCGGACGGGUGAGUAACACGUGGAUAACCUACCUAUAAGACUGGGAUAACUUCGGGAAACCGGCGCUAAGACCGGAUAAUAUAUUGAACCGCAUGGUUCAAUAGUGAAAGACGGUUUUGCUGUCACUUAUAGAUGGAUCCGCGCCGCAUUAGCUAGUUGGUAAGGUAACGGCUUACCAAGGCAACGAUGCGUAGCCGACCUGCGAGGGUGAUCGGCCACACUGGAACUGAGACGCGGUCCAGGCUCCUACGGGAGGCAGCAGUAGGGAAUCUUCCGCAAUGGGCGAAAGCCUGACGGAGCAACGCCGCGUGAGUGAUGAAGGUCUUCGGAUCGUAAAACUCUGUUAUUAGGGGAGAACAAAUGUGUAAGUAACUAUGCACGUCUUGACGGUACCUAAUCAGAAAGCCACGGCUAACUACGUG